UACAGAGACUGCAAGCGUUAUUCGGAUUCACUGGGCGUAAAGGGUGCGCAGGCGGUUUUGUAAGUCUGACGUGAAAUCCCCGGGCUCAACCUGGGAACUGCAUUUGUGACUGCAUGGCUAGAGUACGGUAGAGGGGGAUGGAAUUCCGCGUGUAGCAGUGAAAUGCGUAGAUAUCAAGAGGAACACCAGUGGCGAAGGCGAGUCCCUGGACAAUACCUGACACUGAGGCACGAAAGCCAAGGGAGCAAACAGG
rnacentral:rRNA from 1 species